AGCGAACGCUGGCGGCAGGCCUAACACAUGCAAGUCGAACGGACCCUUCGGGGUUAGUGGCGGACGGGUGAGUAACACGUGGGAACGUGCCUUUAGGUUCGGAAUAGCUCCUGGAAACGGGUGGUAAUGCCGAACGUGCCCUUCGGGGGAAAGAUUUAUCGCCUUUAGAGCGGCCCGCGUCUGAUUAGCUAGUUGGUGAGGUAAAGGCUCACCAAGGCUACGAUCAGUAGCUGGUCUGAGAGGAUGGCCAGCCACAUUGGGACUGAGACACGGCCCAAACUCCUACGGGAGGCAGCAGUGGGGAAUCUUGCGCAAUGGGCGAAAGCCUGACGCAGCCAUGCCGCGUAUAUGAUGAAGGUCUUAGGAUUGUAAAAUACUUUCACCGGUGAAGAUAAUGACUGUAGCCGGAGAAGAAGCCCCGGCUAACUUCGUGCCAGCAGCCGCGGUAA
rnacentral:rRNA from 1 species